rnacentral:rRNA from 1 species
AAGACCUUGCACUUUUGGAGCGGCCGAUGUCUGAUUAGCUAGUUGGUGGGGUAAUGGCCUAUCAAAGCUUCGAUCAGUAGCUGGUCUGAGAGGACGGCCAGCCACACUGGGACUGAGACACGGCCCAGACUCCUACGGGAGGCAGCAGUGGGGAAUUUUGGACAAUGGGCGCAAGCCUGAUCCAGCCAUGCCGCGUGAGUGAAGAAGGCCUUCGGGUUGUAAAGCUCUUUCAGCCGGGAAGAAAAGGUUGCGACUAAUAAUCGCAAUUCAUGACGGUACCGAAAGAAGAAGCACCGGCUAACUACGUGCCAGCAGCCGCGGUAAUACGUAGGGUGCGAGCGUUAAUCGGAAUUACUGGGCGUAAAGGGUGCGCAGGCGGUUUUGUAAGUCAGAUGUGAAAUCCCCGGGCUUAACCUGGGAACU